rnacentral:rRNA from 1 species
AUUGAACGCUGGCGGCAUGCUUUACACAUGCAAGUCGAACGGUAACGCGGGGGCAACCCUGGCGACGAGUGGCGAACGGGUGAGUAAUACAUCGGAACAUGUCCUGGAGUGGGGGAUAGCUCGGCGAAAGCCGGAUUAAUACCGCAUACGCUCUGAGGAGGAAAGCGGGGGACCUUUCGGGCCUCGCGCUGCAGGAGUGGCCGAUGUCGGAUUAGCUAGUUGGUGGGGUAAAGCCCACAAGGCGACGAUCCGUAGCUGGUCUGAGAGGAUGAUCAGCCACACUGGGACUGAGACACGGCCCAGACUCCUACGGGAGGCCAGC